rnacentral:misc_RNA from 1 species
UACGAAGGCCCCGAGCGUUAAUCGAAAUUAUUGGGCGUAAAGGGUCCGCAGGCGGAAUAAUAAGUCUGCUGUUAAAUCCGAGGGCUUAACCCUCCGGGCAGCAGUGGAUACUGUUAUUCUUGAGGCGGGUAGAGGUAAGCGGAACUCCUGGUGAAGCGGUGAAAUGCGUUGAUAUCAGGGGGAACACCAAUUGCGAAGGCAGCUUACUGGACCUGUCCUGACGCUCAUGGACGACAGCGUGGGGAGCGAAGCGG